UGGUGUAGAGCAGUGGUUCUCGGGAGAGUCACAACCCAUAAAAGGCUCACAGGUCUGUUCUGAUAGGGACGGGAAGGAAAAAAACAAUGUUAAAUGCAAAUAAUAAUUAUGUGAAAGUGAAAAAAAAGUGAAAGUGACAUGAUAUACAACCAACUAUGGUAACCCAUACUCAGAAUUCGUGCUCUGCAUUUUAACCCAAUCCAAAGUGCACACACACAGCAGUGAACACACACACACCGUGAUCACACACCUGGUGCAGUGGGCAGCCAUUUAUGCUGCGGUGCCCGGAGAGCAGUUGGGGGUUCGGUGCCUUGCUCAAGGGCACCUCAGUCGUGGUUUUUCUUAUACAGAUUUGCAUGUCAUCCUUUCGCAGGGGCCAUGCUAAUCUUCUCUGUAUCGAUCCAAUUUUAGUAUAUAUGCCGCCGUGGUAAUGUCAUCAAUCAUUUAGUUAUUGGGGAUGAAAUGGUAUGUUUCACUGGUAUAAAAGGAGAUGAGACUGACAUCUAACUAAGCGCGUCAUUCGGCGUCUCGGAAGUGACGUGAUUUAUUGGUGCGCCGUGUUUAUGUCCAGGAGGUAAGAGCUACUGGUGGUAGUUGCAUUAUGAACAUUCUACAUUAAAAAGGGUAAUUUGAGACUCACUUAAUUUACAGUGUGGCUGAGGAGUAAUAUGGACAUGUUGAGUGAAUGUUUAUCUUUGUGAGUCUUUAACUUGAACGCCAUCGAGUGUGCUGGGAGGUGCGAGUUAUCUGCAGCCCUGCGGAUAUGCAGAGAAAUGAAGAGCUGCCCUGCUUAAGUUCCCAAGAAAUCCACAGGUGGUCUACAGAGACAAUCGUCUGGCUUUUGCAAAACCUGGAAUUUGCUGUAGGGUGUUUAACAAACACCGUGCGUUUCCUCAAUAAAAGGAGCAAUGCAGUCAAGUAAGACCAGAAGCAUUCACAGCAUUCUGAAAAAGUGAACUGAGAGAAGAGGACAGUCAACACUGUAAGUGGAGCCUGCAGUCAAAUGCCUUGCUCAAUGACACAUUGCUCAAUAGUGAUGCCACAAACACUAACAGAGUUGAACAGCUUUUCAUAUUUACACCCUCUUAGUUUAACCAAAACACAGACAAACUAACUGUUAGUAAAUCCUUGAAGAGGAAUUACAAUCCAUGGAUGCUUUUAAAGGGAUUUCAAUUGAGUUAAGCUUGCCAGACAUAACUUAACCUGUCAGCUUUUUUUCAGGCUCAAGUACAGGGUAAAAUCUAUUUGCAAUCAAAUUUAAAAAGAAAUAUGAGCUUGACAAUCAAAAUGCAUAAUUUUCAUACAAAGAAAUACACUCUAUAUAAGAUUGUUCUAAAUGUAGAUAAAAGUUUUCCUCUUCAUCUGUUGGUCAGUGAGUUUGAACAGCAGUAAUCAUUCUCUGCAUCACUCUGCCCUCUGCUGCACGAUCUGGUCAUUGCAUUUUGGAUUUGACUUUUCUGUGCUACACAAAUCCAGUGCAACUGUAAUUGGAAACUGGGUAGCAUUUUCUUUUUUUCUUUCUUUUAGCAGAAAGUUAUUGCAUGUUUCAGGUACAGUUAAGGUACUGAAAUAAACAACAUUAGUCACAAGUUUUUGUACA
ensembl:lncRNA